GCAGUCGACGAGAACCCUUGGAUUCGUCUGAGGGGGAGAGUGGCGAACGGGUGAGUAACACGUAGGUGACCUGCCCCGAAGAGGGGGAUAACCAUUGGAAACGGUGGCUAAUACCCCAUGUGGUCUACCGAUCAAUCGGCAGAUUAAAGCUCCGGCGCUUCGGGAGGGGCCUGCGGCCCAUCAGGUAGUUGGUAGGGUAAUGGCCUACCAAGCCGAUGACGGGUAGGGGGCGUGAGAGCGUGAUCCCCCACACUGGCACUGAGAUACGGGCCAGACUCCUACGGGAGGCAGCAGUGAGGAAUAUUGCCCAAUGGACGAAAGUCUGAGGCAGCAACGCCGCGUGAGCGAUGAAGGCCUUCGGGUUGUAAAGCUCUUUUCUGGGGGACGAGAGAGGACGGUACCUCAGGAAUAAGUCACGGCUAACUACGUGCCAGCAGCCGCGGUAAUACGUAGGUGGCGAGCGUUAUCCGGAUUCACUGGGCGUAAAGCGCGUGCAGGCGGUUCCGUAAGUCGGACGUGAAAGCUCCUGGCUUAACUGGGAGAGGUCGUUCGAUACUGCGGGACUUGAGGUUGGGAGAGGGACGUGGAAUUCCCGGUGUAGUGGUGGAAUGCGUAGAGAUCGGGAGGAACACCAGUGGCGAAGGCGGCGUCCUGGCCCACACCUGACGCUGAGACGCGAAAGCGUGGGUAGCGAACGGGAUUAGAUACCCCGGUAGUCCACGCCGUAAACGGUGGAUACUAGGUGUUGGUGGCUAUCGUCAUCAGUGCCGUAGCUAACGCGUUAAGUAUCC
rnacentral:rRNA from 1 species